GACGAACGCUGGCGGCGUGCUUAACACAUGCAAGUCGAACGGAAAGGCCCCUUUGGGGGUACUCGAGUGGCGAACGGGUGAGUAACACGUGAGUAACCUGCCCUUGACUUCGGGAUAACUUCAGGAAACUGGGGCUAAUACCGGAUAGGAAUCCUUGCUGCAUGGUGGGGGUUGGAAAGCUUCGGCGGUUUUGGAUGGACUCGCGGCUUAUCAGCUUGUUGGUGGGGUAGUGGCUUACCAAGGCUUUGACGGGUAGCCGGCCUGAGAGGGCGAACGGCCACAUUGGGACUGAGAUACGGCCCAGACUCCUACGGGAGGCAGCAGUGGGGAAUAUUUCACAAUGGGCGGAAGCCUGAUGCAGCAACGCCGCGUGCGGGAUGACGGCCUUCGGGUUGUAAACCGCUUUCAGCAGGGGCGAAGCUUGUGGUGACGGUACCUGCAGAAGAAGCACCGGCUAACUACGUG
rnacentral:rRNA from 1 species